GUCACACCAUGAGAGUUGGCAACACCCGAAGUCGGUAGUCUAACCGCAAGGAGGACGCCGCCGAAGGUGGGGUUGAUGAUUAGGGUUAAGUCGUAACAAGGUACC
rnacentral:rRNA from 1 species